rnacentral:rRNA from 1 species
UUAAGCGACUAAGCGUACACGGUGGAUGCCCUGGCAGUCAGAGGCGAUGAAGGACGUGCUAAUCUGCGAUAAGCGUCGGUAAGGUGAUAUGAACCGUUAUAACCGGCGAUUUCCGAAUGGGGAAACCCAGUGUGAUUCGUCACACUAUCAUUAACUGAAUCCAUAGGUUAAUGAGGCGAACCGGGGGAACUGAAACAUCUAAGUACCCCGAGGAAAAGAAAUCAACCGAGAUUCCCCAGUAGCGGCGAGCGAACGGGGAGCAGCCCAGAGCCUGAAUCAGUAUGUGUGUUAGUGGAAGCGUCUGGAAAGGCGCGCGAUACAGGGUGACAGCCCCGUACACAAAAAUGCACAUGCUGUGAGCUCGAUGAGUAGGGCGGGACACGUGGUAUCCUGUCUGAAUAUGGGGGACCAUCCUCCAAGGCUAAAUACUCCUGACUGACCGAUAGUGAACCAGUACCGUGAGGGAAAGGCGAAAAGAACCCCGGCGAGGGGAGUGAAAAAGAACCUGAAACCGUGUACGUACAAGCAGUGGGAGCACAGAGCAAUCUGUGUGACUGCGUACCUUUUGUAUAAUGGGUCAGCGACUUAUAUUCUGUAGCAAGGUUAACCGAAUAGGGGAGCCGAAGGGAAACCGAGUCUUAACUGGGCGUUAAGUUGCAGGGUAUAGACCCGAAACCCGGUGAUCUAGCCAUGGGCAGGUUGAAGGUUGGGUAACACUAACUGGAGGACCGAACCGACUAAUGUUGAAAAAUUAGCGGAUGACUUGUGGCUGGGGGUGAAAGGCCAAUCAAACCGGGAGAUAGCUGGUUCUCCCCGAAAGCUAUUUAGGUAGCGCCUCGUGAAUUCAUCUCCGGGGGUAGAGCACUGUUUCGGCAAGGGGGUCAUCCCGACUUACCAACCCGAUGCAAACUGCGAAUACCGGAGAAUGUUAUCACGGGAGACACACGGCGGGUGCUAACGUCCGUCGUGAAGAGGGAAACAACCCAGACCGCCAGCUAAGGUCCCAAAGUCAUGGUUAAGUGGGAAACGAUGUGGGAAGGCCCAGACAGCCAGGAUGUUGGCUUAGAAGCAGCCAUCAUUUAAAGAAAGCGUAAUAGCUCACUGGUCGAGUCGGCCUGCGCGGAAGAUGUAACGGGGCUAAACCAUGCACCGAAGCUGCGGCAGCGACGCUGAUGCGUUGUUGGGUAGGGGAGCGUUCUGUAAGCCUGUGAAGGUGUGCUGUGAGGCAUGCUGGAGGUAUCAGAAGUGCGAAUGCUGACAUAAGUAACGAUAAAGCGGGUGAAAAGCCCGCUCGCCGGAAGACCAAGGGUUCCUGUCCAACGUUAAUCGGGGCAGGGUGAGUCGACCCCUAAGGCGAGGCCGAAAGGCGUAGUCGAUGGGAAACAGGUUAAUAUUCCUGUACUUGGUGUUACUGCGAAGGGGGGACGGAGAAGGCUAUGUUGGCCGGGCGACGGUUGUCCCGGUUUAAGCGUGUAGGCUGGUUUUCCAGGCAAAUCCGGAAAACUAAGGCUGAGGCGUGAUGACGAGGCACUACGGUGCUGAAGCAACAAAUGCCCUGCUUCCAGGAAAAGCCUCUAAGCAUCAGGUAACAUCAAAUCGUACCCCAAACCGACACAGGUGGUCAGGUAGAGAAUACCAAGGCGCUUGAGAGAACUCGGGUGAAGGAACUAGGCAAAAUGGUGCCGUAACUUCGGGAGAAGGCACGCUGAUAUGUAGGUGAAGUCCCUCGCGGAUGGAGCUGAAAUCAGUCGAAGAUACCAGCUGGCUGCAACUGUUUAUUAAAAACACAGCACUGUGCAAACACGAAAGUGGACGUAUACGGUGUGACGCCUGCCCGGUGCCGGAAGGUUAAUUGAUGGGGUCAGCGCAAGCGAAGCUCUUGAUCGAAGCCCCGGUAAACGGCGGCCGUAACUAUAACGGUCCUAAGGUAGCGAAAUUCCUUGUCGGGUAAGUUCCGACCUGCACGAAUGGCGUAAUGAUGGCCAGGCUGUCUCCACCCGAGACUCAGUGAAAUUGAACUCGCUGUGAAGAUGCAGUGUACCCGCGGCAAGACGGAAAGACCCCGUGAACCUUUACUAUAGCUUGACACUGAACAUUGAGCCUUGAUGUGUAGGAUAGGUGGGAGGCUUUGAAGUGUGGACGCCAGUCUGCAUGGAGCCGACCUUGAAAUACCACCCUUUAAUGUUUGAUGUUCUAACGUUGACCCGUAAUCCGGGUUGCGGACAGUGUCUGGUGGGUAGUUUGACUGGGGCGGUCUCCUCCUAAAGAGUAACGGAGGAGCACGAAGGUUGGCUAAUCCUGGUCGGACAUCAGGAGGUUAGUGCAAUGGCAUAAGCCAGCUUGACUGCGAGCGUGACGGCGCGAGCAGGUGCGAAAGCAGGUCAUAGUGAUCCGGUGGUUCUGAAUGGAAGGGCCAUCGCUCAACGGAUAAAAGGUACUCCGGGGAUAACAGGCUGAUACCGCCCAAGAGUUCAUAUCGACGGCGGUGUUUGGCACCUCGAUGUCGGCUCAUCACAUCCUGGGGCUGAAGUAGGUCCCAAGGGUAUGGCUGUUCGCCAUUUAAAGUGGUACGCGAGCUGGGUUUAGAACGUCGUGAGACAGUUCGGUCCCUAUCUGCCGUGGGCGCUGGAGAACUGAGGGGGGCUGCUCCUAGUACGAGAGGACCGGAGUGGACGCAUCACUGGUGUUCGGGUUGUCAUGCCAAUGGCACUGCCCGGUAGCUAAAUGCGGAAGAGAUAAGUGCUGAAAGCAUCUAAGCACGAAACUUGCCCCGAGAUGAGUUCUCCCUGACUCCUUGAGAGUCCUGAAGGAACGUUGAAGACGACGACGUUGAUAGGCCGGAUGUGUAAGCGCAGCGAUGCGUUGAGCUAACCGGUACUAAUGAACCGUGAGGCUUAACCUU